rnacentral:lncRNA from 1 species
GGGGAGCAGAGCUUAACAUUAAGACGAAGGUAUGUUCCUUUUUUAUGAUUAUAAUCCUGCUGAAUUGAUAUGAAGCAGAAAUGUGUGCAGAGAUAUGUCACCAAACAAAGGAUCUCAGUUCCUCUAUUUAAACGGGGAGUCAUCUAUAAGAAAUCAUUCUGCAGGAUUUUUGACAACAUAUAUGAUGUUAUUACUUCUCAUAGAAUUUCUACACAAAAGGUGCUUGGUUAAUUAAAUUUUGUAUAUGGUAGGAUUGUAACAGUUUCAGAAUCCACUGAUUUGGACAUUUUUAAAAAAUUCAGGUUUUUGUUUGAAUUCCAGUUAACAUGCAUGGCAAAGUUGGUUUCAGGUGUAGAAUUUAGUGAUUCACCACUUUCAUCAACACCCAGGGCUCUGCCCAAGUGCCCUCCUUAACGCCCAUCAGCCAUGGAGCCCAUCCCCCACCCACCUCCCUCCAUCAACCCUCAGUUUGUUCUCUAUAGUUAAGUCUCUUAUGGUUUGCUUUCCUCUCUCUCUCUUUUCCCCUUCUUCUAUGUUCAUCUGGCUUUUUUUUUUUUUUUUAAUUCCACAUAGGAGUGAAAUCAUAUGCUAUUGGUCUUUCUCCGAUUGAUUUAUUUUGCCUUGCAGAAUACGCUCUAGCUCCAUCCAUGAUUUGGAGUUUUUUUUUAUAUUUUAGUUUUUUUAAUGUUUUUUUAUUUUUGAGACAGAGACAGAGCAUGAGCAGGGGAGGGGCAGAGAGAGAGGGAGACACAGAAUCCGAAGCAGGCUCCACGCUCUGAGCUGUUAGCACAGAGCCCGAUGCAGGGCUCAAACUCACAAACCAUGAGAUCAUGACCUGAGCCAAAGUUGGACGCUUAACCGACUGAGCCACCCAGGCGCCCCUGGAGUUUUUUGAUAUUUGAAUCACAGCAUACAUGAGUGUUAUUGGGUUUUAAAAGUGCCACUGAGUCGGGCUCUGGGCUGAUGGCUCAGAGCCUGGAGCCUGUUUCCGAUUCUGUGUCUCCCUCUCUCUCUGCCCCUCCCCCGUUCAUGCUCUGUCUCUCUCUGUCCCAAAAAUAAAUAAACGUUGAAAAAAAAUUAAAAAAAAAAAAAAAAGUGCCACUGAUCCACUCCUUAGUGUUCACUGAGAUUUACUUGCCCAGAUUCAACAAACCACUCUCUGAGCUAGAAAAGAAAUCCUAUUCUUACAUAUCCCACAUCUUCACUGAGGGGGAAAGCCUGAUUCAUAUGAAAACACAAGGCCAGGAGAGCUCAAUAUUGAGUUGCUGUUGAGACAAUUUCAGAAAAGAAAAACAACAAGUUGUGAGCUAGAAAGCUGUAUCUCAGCAGUGGUUCUUAUAUGCUAAAAACAGUAAGAAGAGGAAGAGCAGUAAGAGAAGAAAAAAAAGCAAAAAACGGAUGCUCUGUUCCAUAAAGUCAUCUUCCAUGAAAACAGGAAAUAGAAGAAAAUCCAGGCAAAAGCUGAUACAAGAGGGAGGUAAUAGAAUUGGCGAAAGUGGAAGGGAAGCUGGGAAUGGAAGACACAUUUCUAACGCCUACUUUUUCUUUAUGUCUUAAAGCAAACAUUUACGGAGCACCUGUUAUGUGUCAGGCACUGUACUGGGUGCUGGGGACAGAGGCGAAUAAGACUGACGUGGUGGUGGCCCCCCUGGGAUUUCAGUGAUGGGGAGGGGCAAUGGCAAGUAAGCGAAUAUAGCCCUUGUUAAUUACUGCGAACGAAACAAAAAUAGGAAUAAGGAGUUGGGGGAAGAACAUACCUCAUGUAGAGUGGUCAGCCAAGGUCUUAACUGAAGAAGGCACUUUUACACUGAGAUCGAAAGAAGGGCAGUAGCCACUAGAAAUUCUGUUUCCGGCGUAGGGAACAGCGUUGCAAAAACACCAGUCAGAAUGAGUUUCCGGAUUAGGAACUGUGAGAAGGCAGCCAUGGCUCCAGCAAGCUAGGCCUGNGGGGGGUUGGGAGGGGGUGCGUGGGCGCUGAGAUGAGGCUGAAAACCUUGGGGCGAGGAACUAGGAUUGUGUUCUAAGAGCAGCCGGAAGCCAGUAGAGAAUUUUAAGAAGCGGAGUCACUGAGUCUGGUUUGUUUUUGAAACAUCACCCUGGCUCUGCCUCACACCAUAUACAAUAAUAAACUCAAAAUGGGUCAUGGACCUAAAUGUAAGAGCUAAAAUUAUAAAACAUUUAGAAGAAAACCUGAGAGUAAAUCUUUCUGACAUUGGAUUAGGCAAUGGUUUCUUAGCUAUGACACCCAAGCAUAAGGAAGCAAAGUAAACAGAUAAAUUGGAGUUCUCAGAUAUAAAAACAUCGAUUUCAGAGCACACCAUCAUGAAAGUGAAAAUGCAGCUCACAGAAUGGAAGAUCAUGUUUGCAGAUCGUGUAAGUUAAAAAAAAAAAAACUCUUUGGGGCGCCUGGGUGGCGCAGUCGGUUAAGCGUCCGACUUCAGCCAGGUCACGAUCUCGCGGUCCGUGAGUUCGAGCCCCGCGUCAGGCUCUGGGCUGAUGGCUCGGAGCCUGGAGCCUGUUUCGGAUUCUGUGUCUCCCUCUCUCUCUGCCCCUCCCCCGUUCAUGCUCUGUCUCUCUCUGUCCCAAAAAUAAAUAAACAUUGAAAAAAAAAUUAAAAAAAAAAAAAAAAAAAACUCUUACAACUCAAUAUUGAAAGGACCAAAAAUCCAAUAAUAAAAAAAAAAAAAAACGGCAAAAGACAUUUCUCUGAAGAAGAUAUACAGGUGGCCAAUAAGCACAUGAAAAGAUGCUCUACAUCACUAAGCACGAGGGAAAUGCAAAUCAAAAUCACAGUGACAUAUCACUUCACACCCAGGAGGAUGGCUAUUUUAAAAACAAAACUAAAAACAAGAACAAGAACGGCAAUAACAAAAGAGAAAGGAGAAUAGUUGUUGCCAGGGACUGAAAGGAGAAAGUAAUGGGGUAGAGUUUCAGUUCGGGAAAAUGAAAAAGUUCUAGGGAUGGGUCACAACGAUGGUUGCACAACAGCGUGAAUUGUACUUAAUUCUGCCAGAACUGUAAGAGUUAAAAUAGUAACUUUGAUGUAUGUUAUGCAUAUUUUACCACAAUAAAGAAAAGUUAAAAGGGGAAGGGCAAAGGAUUUGAAUACACAUUUUUCCAGAGAAGAUAUGCACAUGGCCCAUAGAUACGUGAAAAGACGCUCAACAUCACUGGUCCGUAGGGAAAUGCAAAUCAAAACCACAGUGAGGUACCAGUUUUACACCCACCAGGGCUGACGACAUUCAAAAAAGCAGACAGUGACAAAUGUUGACAAAAAUGUGGAGAAAUUGGCACCCCCGAAUGUCGCUAGUCGGAUUAUAAAAUGCUGCAACCGCUUUGGAAAACAGUUUGGCAGCCUCUCAAAAAAUGUUAAACAGAGUUACCAUGUGACUGAGUGAUUCCAGCCCUAGGUACACACCCAAGAAAAUUAGAAACACAAGUAAACACAAAAAUGUACACAAAUGUUCCCAGGAGCACUUUGCAUGAUAGCCAAAGAGUAGAAACAACUCAAAUAUCCAUCCGCUGAUGAAUGGAUAAGCAAAAAUGUGAUAGAUCCAUUCAGUAUAAUGGUAUUCUGCCACGAGAAGGAAUAAAACACUGAUGCAUGCUACAACACGGAUGAACCUUGAAAAUAUGCUAAGAGGCCAGAAACAAAAGAUUGUAUAUUGUUGGAUCCCAUUUAUACCAAAGGUCCGGAAUAGGCAAAUCCAUAGAGACAAAAAGUAGAUUAGUGGUUGUCAGGGAAUAGAGAGAGACUGCUGAUGGAGACAGAGUUUCUUUUCAGGAUGAUUAAAAUGCUCUCAACCUGGAUGGCGGUGAUGGUUGCACAAAGUUUUGAAUAUACUGAAACCCACUGAAUUGUACACUUUAGAUGGGUGAAUUUUAUGGUAUGUGACUUAUAUCUCAAUAAAGUUGCUAUAACAAACAAACAAACAACAUCGACCAAAAAGAUCAACCUGGCUGCUUGAUGGAGAAAACAGGAAGGGUCCUUCAAGAAGUGAUGUGGAACCAGGUGACCACUUAAAAAGCUACUAGAGACGUCAAGGCAAGAGGUGACAGUGAAUCACCUGGGUGGGGAGUAAAGGAAAGGAGGAAGCACGGGUUUUGGUUUGGGUGAAUGGGUCGUAGGGUGGGGCCAUUUACCACCCAUCCGAGAGAGAUUUGUGUUUGGGUCCGAAAAGGAAAACCUGCACUAAAUCAUAAUCCCAGUCCUAUGAAGUAGGUACAGUUAUCCCCAUUUAUAAUUGAAUAAAUGAGGCUCAAUGAAGUUCAAAUAAAUACCUUAAUAAUCAUUAGCGCUGUGACUCACAUCAGCCUGACUCUGACACCCAUGCUCUUUGUUUGUUUUUUGUUUUUCCAUGGCAGUAUUUAUUUAUUUAUUUAUUACUGUCAAGUUAGCUAACAUACAGUGUAGUCUUGGCUUCAGGAGUAGAUCCCCAUGAUUCAUCACUUACAUACAACACCCAGUGCUCAUCCCAACAUGCGCCCUCCUCAAUGCCCAUCACCCAUUUUUCCCACCCCCCCAACCCCCACCCCCAUCAACCCUCUGUUUGUUCUGAGACUCAGUUUGAGUCUCUAAUGGUUUGCCUCCCUCUCUGUUUGUGUCUCAUUUUUCCUUCCCUUCCCCUAUGUUCAUAUGUUAGGUUUCUCUAGUUCACUUAGCAUAAUACCCUCCAGUUCCAUCCAGGUUGUUGCAAAUGGCAAGAUUUCACUCUUUUUCAUCACUGAGAAGUAUUCCAUUGUGUGUAUAUAUACCACAUCUUUAUCCAUUCAUCAGUUGUUGGACAUUUGGGCUCUUUCCAUAAUUUGGCCAUUAUUGAUAGCACUGCUAUAAACAUUGGGGUGCAUGUACCCCUUUGAAUCAGCUCUCCUGUAUCCUUGGGAUAAAUUCCUAGUAGUACAAUUGCUGGGUUGUAGGGUAAUUCUAUUUUUAAUUUUUUGAGGAACCUCCACGCUGUUUUCCAGAGUGGCUGCAGCAGUUUGCAUUUCCACCAACAGUGCAAGAGGGUUCCCCUUUCUCUCCAUCCCCACCAACAUCUGUUGUUUCCUGAGUUGUUAAUUUUAGCCACUCUGAUGUGAAGUCAUAUCUCAAUGUGGUUUUGAUUUGUAUUUCCCUGAUGAUGAGCGAUGUUGAGCAUCUUUUCAUGUGUCGGUUGGCCAUCUGGAUGUCUUCUUUGGAAAAAUGUCUUUUCGUGUCUUCUGCCCAUUUCUUCACUGGUUUAUUUGUUUUUCAGACACCCAUGAUCUUUGUUGCACAUUAUAUGAGGAGAGAUUUUUAAAAGAUAAAAAAAAAGGGAGAGAAAGAAAUUGGGGAGGCACUGCUAGAAGGAGGUGAAGAGAGAUGGGUCAGGCACCCUGUAUGGAGCAUUUUGCCACCUGGUUUUGACAAAAAUAUUUCUAUUUAUACUAAUAUUUAUAGAAAAUAUUAGUAUAUGCUGUCACUAAUAACCAGAGAACCUCAAAAUGUCACCCUCAGCUCCCAGUCAGUAGUCGGAGGCUGUUAAUUUUUCUCAAAUUUGCUGACAGCCGUCGCCAGGGACAGUGCUGCAGCUUCCUUGGGCCAGUGCCCCCUCACCUCUUGCAGGAGGUAUUGCAACACCCUCCCAACCUUUGUCCUGUGGUCCCCCUGCCCCAGAAAUGGGUGCUGGAGUGUGUGCAGACACACGCACACACCCCUCCCUCCUCAUCCCUUCUCCAUUGCUGGGGUGCUCUUUCUAAAAUGCAAACCUGUCCAUUUCAUCACAUGCCUUAAAACCCUUCAGGGAAUCCUGGUGGUGCUCAGGAUCAAGUUCAAGCACCUCAACCCAACGUACAAGGCCCUUCACUAUCUUGACUCCAUGUACCUCUUCAGCCUUUCCUCACUCUCCCCCCUUACCCACGCCUGGCAUCACACACCCUUACCCCAUGGGCCAGCCACACUGAACUAUUUUCAGUCCCCUAAUGUACCACGCUCUUGCUGACCUCAAGCCUUAGCACGUGUCAUUCUGGCUGGAAUAGCCAUCUGUGACAGUUGCAUAGCUAACUCCUACACAUCCUUUGGUCUUCCGUUGCCCUCCACGUCAGGGCUAGGUGCCCUUUGGACAUUUCUCGUGGCCCUCUGCACAGCCCCCGUGGGCACAGUGGAAUUAAGGGGUGGCCAGCUGAGCCCUGGGAGAAGCAGUCUGCAAGAGAGAAUAAAGAUCAUAGGAAAUGUAACGGAACCAGAAAAAUCCUCUCUCCCAGAACCUUCUCAGAAGGACUUAUCAGAAUAUUCUUUCCAACCACACAGUGUUAUUAGGCCCACCCUGUACAAAUGAAAUGAAAGGCAGAUCGAUAAAUAGAUAGAUAGAUAGCCGGAUAGAAGGAUAGAUAGACAAACAUUUCACAUUUAUUCAUCUUUGGUCAACAUCUUGUUGUUUCGGUCUAGCGGAGCCCUCAGAUACAGGACCCGGGUUGGACUUCCAGGUCUUCUAUUGCCAGCUGAAGGACCUACCCCAUAGGUGUGUUGGGAGGACGAUCAGAAGAAAUCAAAGGAGGGAAAUUAUCUGGCAUAUUACCCCUCCCAGUUGGUGCUCAGUAAACACUAGUGAUAUUUAUUGGCUCACUGGUUCAUCAGUAUUCUUUAAAACCUGAGUCCUAUUCCCAGAGUAUGAGGCUGUGCCUCAGCGUCAUGCCAGCCGCACGCGUGACAGUGUAUCUUCUGGUUUUCGAUAAUCACUCCCUCCCAGCUUCCUUCCUCAUCCACACCUGCACCCCCCUCAAUUUUAAGCUUUGCUUGGCCCAGGCGUCAGGCUCUCAGGAUGACAAACCCACAUCGCCACCUGGAGGACAGCAUGAGAAUCUGGGGAAGAAUACCAUUUCAUGGCGCCAGAUAAACUAACUCCGCUGUUCCGUGCUGGUGCUAACGAGGCCAAGUUCACAGGUUCAUCCCCAAAGGGGCCAAUUAGCUUUACACGAAGAGACACUUUAGAGCACAGCCCCAGUCUCUAACCCUGGCCCCUGGUUCACACGCGUGUUGGUUAGAAAGUGGAUUCAUCAGGCCAAUCCCAUUUUCCAUAAUUUCUUUAAAAAAAAAAAAAUCCAUCUGUAAGGCCGUGUGGAGACAAGACAAACAAGAUCUGCUCUCUACUUUUAAGGAAUCUUCACCUGCAGGAGUGUUUCCCCAAAUGAUUCCCGAGAUAUCAGCGGGAGUUAUGAGAAUAGAGGCUCCACUGUGCUAAAUCAGUUUUGGAAACACUGAUCUAAUCCAAGUCAGGAGGUUCUCUCAUGGAAGGGUUUCCUAGAGCCUUUAACAUGCUAAUAGGCACUGUUAAUUUUCCAAUAAGGAAAUGUGUGUGCAGUGUUUCCCAGAUUUGGAUGGCCAUAAGACUUACCCCCAGCCCCCCAGUCUGUAAAAAAGAAAAGAAAAGAAAAAGAAUAGUAAUGAGUCUGCUGGCCCUGGGUAUGGCUGCUUCCACUGGAACAUCUAUUUUAGGAAGCAACUCAUCCACGGGGAAAAGUUCACAGUCUAUUGCUAGGUUUAAAAAAAAAGCAGACUAAAGAACAGUAUCCCAUUUUGAAAAGACAGAACAAAGAUGUCCAUACACUUGAGAGGAAAAAAACUGAAAAGACAUAAACCAAAAUGUUAACCCCCGUGAUCUUUAUGCUGGAGUGCCCAUUGUUUUUCUGUGUUCUUUACAUGUUUUUCAAGUUUUUUUUUGUAUUGAAUAUGCAUGUGUAUUUUAUUUUUUUAAGUUUAUUUAUUUUUGAGAGAGAGAGAGAGACAGCGAGCACGUGAGGGAAGGGCAGAGAGAGGGAGAGGAAGAGAGAGAAUCCCAAGCAGGCUCUGUUGCUGACAGUGGGGCUUGAAUCCACAAACCAUGAGAUCAUGACCUGAGCAGAAAUCAAGAGUCGGACGCUUAACUGACUGAGCCACCCAGGCACCCCACUUAUAAAUUUUAAAAGAAAAACAACAAAGCACAUGUUCUAGGAUAGUAUACCAUCUUUGUAAGACUAUUAUUAUAGAAUCCUAGCAAGAGCUAACAUUUUCUAAAGGCUAAGUGCCUGGCAUAUGAAUUAUCUAGAUUAUCUUGUUUAAACUUCACAUGAAUCGUAUGAGAUGAGGUGCUAUUUUUUGUCCCAAUUUAAAAAUGGAAAAUUAAGGAAGGAAACAAACCCUGUGGAACCAGAAUUUGAACCCAUUACUUUCCUCUUUGCUGUCUAUCCUGCUCCCCCAAGACACACACACACACACACACACACACACACACACACACACCAUGAAAAAGAGAAAUGAUGCUUUUCCUCCCGGGAGAGGGACUCUUUGAAGGCAAUGAUGCUGUGUGCUGUCGCUGUGCCACACGGCUACUAGCUGCCAUUUAUUAAAUGCUCACUGGUGCCAAGAAUUAUUCUGAGUCCUUUGAUAUAUAUAAACAUGUAAACUGAAUAGCAGCUGGGCUCUCCAGACUUUUAAGAUCUGCCUUCUGCAGCAUUGCUUGGGCCACCUCUCUCUUCUUUCUCUUUCACUGGCCACUAGAAGCCCUGACAACUACUAGGUGAGGCCAUUCAGCCCUCUCCAGACACUAGAGCCACGUUCGGCUCCAAUUCAACUGCAGUUAACAUGCUCCUUUAAACAGGCUUUCAACCCAGCUACAUGCUAGUACUCUUUCUCUCUCUCUGUCUCUGUCUCUCUUCUCUCUCUCUUUUCCCUCUCUGGGAAGAGGCCCAAAGGACAAUUCUAUUUCCUCACUGGUAUGAAGUAUGCCUACCUUCCUUAAAAGGCAGAAGUGUCUAUCAUCAAUUGGGGGUUAAAAUACUCUCUUUUUUUUUGUCCAUCACAGGUGCAUUUGCAAAGUCGUUUCUUUCAUUAAUUCCAUUUUACAGAUGAGGAAAUUGAGGGCAGGUAAUUUGCCCAAGGUACCAGUGCAAGUACACGCUGGACCACUAUUUGAACCAGGGCCGUCCAAGUCCCCGUGUCACCAAGAUUCAAAGGAAAACUGGCCCACUUUGAGCUGCCAGACACAGAAACUUCCCUGAAGAUAUGGCUCUUGCUCUAUGGAAAAUAUGUCAGGCUGACUCAGUUUCUCUAGCACAAGUGAAAACGAGCUGGUUAGAACAGACCGGUUUAAAGCAAGUGCACAAUUCUUCACCUUCAGGUAAGAAAUCUGGUCCUGCAAACCAGUUUUAUGUGAUUUAACUGCUUACCUCAAGGACAACAGUAGCCCUCUGAUAGAAAACCCCUCCUUUUUCUCUGUUCCCCAUCCCCACUCCUGUUGCCUUCUUCUCAAUCAGGCCAUCAUCCACAUUGGAAAAUCACUCUGUUUUUUUUUUAAUUAUGGGAGAUCUUUUCCUCUGUGAGACUUGGCUCUGGACAGAGAUGAUUACUAGAUCCUUUCCCUCACUGGGUGGCAUCUUUUAGCCCAGCCUGAGGUCCCAGGCUCCUGCAAAGUUGAGUAAACCAGUUCUUUUGUCUUUGCGUUGACUUCCAGGUGAGCUAGCAGCUGAAUUUCCCCGCCAGCUGGGCCUUAAAGGGCAAACAACGCUCAGGGCAGAAGGCAUCAUGAAGCGAUCUUGGACAACGUGCGUUCUUCAUUACAUCUGCAAAAUGCCACUAGCACCUUUGACCAAACAUUAAUACCGCACGGCUUUGACAUCUUGUGAUAUAGCUGGAGUUUGAGGAAUGGGGCUAAGGGUUGAUUGGGGUCCCCCAAAAUAAAUCUUUUCUACUGCCAUGAAGCAGUUACAGUUGCACAACUGAAAUACCAGCCCUUUGGAAAAGCUAUCAAACCCACUCAUGCAGUUGGGUAAUAUCAUCAUCCAGAGUACUUCCUAGAUGCCUGGUGUUCGAAGCACUGUGCACAGCAAGUUGAGCAGACACAAUCUAUUAUGUGAGACAUUUCUGAGGCAGGAUAUAUGUUUCUGAUGCUGGAAGUGAAACUGGUUCAGACAGAUGUCAAAGUACCCCUCAUAGGAUAGUGCAUAUAUGUAUAUAUGUAUAUACGUAUAUAUGUGUGUAUAUAUGUAUAUAUGCACUAAUAUUUAUUGGGUCCCCUUCCAUUUUCC